rnacentral:rRNA from 1 species
UCCCCAGGCGGUCUACUUAUCGCGUUAGCUGCGCCACUAAAGCCUCAAGGGCCCCAACGGCUAGUAGACAUCGUUUACGGCAUGGACUACCAGGGUAUCUAAUCCUGUUUGCUCCCCAUGCUUUCGCACCUCAGUGUCAGUAUUAGGCCAGAUGGCUGCCUUCGCCAUCGGUAUUCCUCCAGAUCUCUACGCAUUUCACCGCUACACCUGGAAUUCUACCAUCCUCUCCCAUACUCUAGCUAACCAGUAUCGAAUGCAAUUCCCAAGUUAAGCUCGGGGAUUUCACAUUUGACUUAAUUAGCCACCUACGCGCGCUUUACGCCCAGUAAAUCCGAUUAACGCUUGCACCCUCUGUAUUACCGCGGCUGCUGGCACAGAGUUAGCCGGUGCUUAUUCUGCGAGUAACGUCCACUUAUCCCGGGUAUUAACCAGGUAAGCCUCCUCCUCGCUUAAAGUGCUUUACAACCAAAAGGCCUUCUUCACACACGCGGCAUGGCUGGAUCAGGGUUCCCCCCAUUGUCCAAUAUUCCCCACUGCUGCCUCCCGUA